GUGCGUACCCGGCGAUAUGUGCGCAAGUUUGUGUUGAUGCGGGCCAAUAUCCAGGCUGUGUCCCUCAAGAUACAAACUCUAAAAUCCAACAACUCAAUGGCACAAGCCAUGAAGGGUGUUACUAAGGCCAUGGGCACCAUGAACAGACAGGUUUGUCCCUCCCAAUCCACUUUCCCAUCCCCAUUGACCUUCAGGCAGGUCACUCACCCUCCCUGCUUCUUCCAGCUGAAAUUACCCCAGAUCCAGAAGAUCAUGAUGGAGUUUGAACGGCAGGCAGAGAUCAUGGACAUGAAGGAAGAAAUGAUGAAUGAUGCCAUUGAUGAUGCAAUGGGUGAUGAGGAAGAUGAAGAGGAGAGGUGUGGGACUUUAACAGGAAGGCAAGAAUAUUUACCAGGCCCCUUAACCAUUCAUAGACCUGAUGAGUUUUUUCUUUUCCUAGUGAUGCUGUUGUGUCCCAGGUACUGGAUGAGCUGGGACUGAGCCUCACAGAUGAGCUGUCAAGUGAGUGUUCCAAAUCCACCUAUUUUCCCACCCAAUGCUCAACCACAGCCCUUGACCCUCAACUCUCUCUGCAGACCUCCCCUCCACUGGAGGCUCACUCAGUGUGGCUGCUGGCGGAAAGAAAGCAGAGGCCACAGCCUCAGCUCUGGCUGAUGCUGAUGCAGACCUGGAAGAGAGGCUCAAGAACCUUCGCAGGGACUGAACACUCCACCUGGACUCAAUGCCUAGGAUCUUCAUCCUGUCCCCCCUGUAAUAAAGAAAUUUGGACACU
rnacentral:lncRNA from 1 species